ensembl:lncRNA
CGGCAGAUGAGGGAUUGAGUGUAUGGCACUGCAACCAACGUAACAUUUUACAGUGUUUAAUGUAGUAAUGUGGUCGCUCUGUUUUUCUAGAUUUGUUUUAAUUGUUAUUUGAACAAAGAAAUCAAGUGCUACGCAGAUGUAUUGGCCAUGACUUGAUUGUAAAUACAAAUACAAAAUUUAGACGAGUAAAGAAAAUGCGGUACUUAUUACAAGAAUCACACCUUUAUUUAAAUAUAUAAACACAGGAAACCGCUGUUAACAGGUUAAGGCAGGGAUCCUCAAAUCUGGCCCACAAGAUCCACUUUCCUGCAGAGUUUAGCUCUAACCCUAAUCAAACACACCUGAGCAUGCUAAUCAAUGUCUUCAGGAUCAUAGGAAAAUCACAGGUAGGUGAGUUUGAUCAGGUUGAAGCAAAACUCUGCAGCGCAUUGGCCCUCCAGGGCAAGAUUUGUGGAACCCUGGGUUAAGGUAACGUUUCCCAUUCCAUGACUAGUAAAAUAAUGGCAACUUACUGUCUGUAUAACAUUGAACAUGAUGGUUCUUCGGAGUAGCACAGCCGCUGUGUCUUCUUCUUGUUUGACAGGUGUCAGCGUUAAGGAGCAAUACUGCCACCUGGGAGCUCAACCAGAUAUGUCUCUGAUACAGCUGGAAACUCACAGACAGAGGGAAAAAUGUACAGUGUGUCAGUGGGCAGAAUGGCUCUUUACUAUGAAUAAUGAGUCGUUGAUGCAACAGAACAUUUUUGCUUCUCUGGACCAAAUAAAAAAGGUUUGGGUGGGUUGGGUGAGUUGUGGAGAAAACUAUAUGAUGGAUCUGCUGAUGCAAUUGCAGACUCGAGAGACAAAACAAGCCUCUUCAGCAGAACUGCUGUGCCAAAUCAACAUUUAGAUCCACUGCAUAUAAGAUGAAGAGAAAUGCAAGAACCAGUUCACAUAUACCAGGCCAGAGUGUGUGUUCUCAUUCAUCUCAGUGGCAGAUUCAAUGGCACAUAUACAAUCUUAAGAGUGCACAGCAAAUAUGGCUGACAAUCAAUCCAUGAAGCAACCAAAGUUUGGGUCAAAACAGGUCUUUAAAUGGAAAUGCAUGUCUUUUCACUUCGUAAACUCAUAGGUCAGAGUUUAACUCAAACCAUGGUGCACAUAAACAAAAACAUCUGUGCAACAUAUUUGUGUUCCCACUCUCAAGCAUGAGAAUAGAAGUGAAUGAAACACGAAGUGUGAACAAUCCGUCUGAAGCAAUGGCAAAAGCAAUCACUUCGGUUCCAGAAGUCUCCCUCAAGUUCAUUUACCCUCUCAUUCCUUUUGGACGAAUUUUCUUCUGAUUUUGCUGUUGCUAUUGACACAUUCCUGCCCUCCAUCAAGCGUAACAGAAGCUUAAGAAGUAAUUUACCAGUAAGACUGAGCAGAAUAAAAAUACAACAUGCUCCA